CCUACGGGAGACAGCAGUGGGGAAUAUUGCACAAUGGGGGAAACCCUGAUGUAGCGACGCCGCGUGAAGGAAGAAGUAUUUCGGUAUGUAAACUUCUAUCAGCAGGGAAGAAAAUGACGGUACCUGACUAAGAAGCCCCGGCUAACUACGUGCCAGCAGCCGCGGUCAUACGUAGGGGGCAAGCUUUAUCCGGAUUUACUGGGUGUAAAGGGAGCGUAGGCGGUAAUGCAAGUCAGAAGUGAAAGCCCGGGGCUCAACGUCGGGACUGCUUUUGAAACUGUGUUGCUAGAUUGCAGGAGAGGUAAGAGGAAUGCCUAGUGUAGCGGUGAAAUGCGUAGAUAUUAGGAGGAACACCAGUGGCGAAGGCGGCUUACUGGACUGUAAAUGACGCUGAGGCUCGAAAGCGUGGGGAGCAAACAGGAUUAGAUACCCGAGUAGUC
rnacentral:rRNA from 1 species